GAGAGAGAGAGAAGAGAGAGAG
rnacentral:sRNA from 1 species